UUGUGCAUGUGCUGCGUGUGCCGUAGGAAGAUGGCUCCAGUCGCGAUUAUCGUCAGAAAAACAAAGACACGCCAACCACCAGUCAUCUUUUUCGCUUUGCAUCGAGUGUGUUCCACCCAGCGUCCGGGGAGUGUGUUUGUGUAUUUCUGCUGGCGAAUGUGUCUAUCGAACGAACCGGAUAGAAGAACCGGGGCGCAUAUCUGACGCGUAACGCACGAUAGCUGCUCCGAAAUCGUAUCCCAGCGAGGAAGAAACCCGCUCCGAGCAUUAGAUGAAGCUCAAGAACCUCCUUCUGCCUUUUCCCAGCCCCUCGAACGUAAAGCGAACCUGGAAGUGGGUACUGGUGUGAUGUCCCCGAAACGAGCAAUUGUUUGUGAUUAAUGCAAAUUUCUGAACCAGAGGGAAACAAAAAAAUCGUAAGAUAAAAUCAACGUACUCUGGAGCGAAUUCAUUCGUGUGCGAAUUUGAACGGUACGGCUGAUGGCUGCAGCUUCGGAUCACACCCCCUACCUGGCUGUUCGAUAUCGAACUCGUUCAAUAUCACAUUUCAACCGAAUGCCAGACACUGAGCAGCAAAAACUACGAACGAAGUUGACCUUUGCAAUGGGGCAGGAGGCCUUGUCGUGCACCAAAAAUUUCGAGAAGAAAGAUCACGAUAAGAGCCGUCCGAUGUGCUCCCACCCAAAAAUGAGUCCCUUUCCACUGAUGGACUCGUUGGAAACCUUGCUCCAGAAGUCUGGUCCGGUGCCUGGGUUUUGGACAUUUCGAGAUAAUCGAAUCCUUGCCCACCGUGCCUCCCCCGUGCCCUAGGUAACCGAUAAUUGACGCUCGGGAAAAUGGACGCGCCCGGACGCUGAUAGGAAGAUUUGUUCGUUAUCGGACGCAAACGAAACCAGAAUGAAUGUCACGAGCUGGACGAAGGGAGUUGCAGGGUUGGAAGGGUUUUGUGGGGUCGAUCGAUCGGUCCAGCCGUUAUCGAGCUUGUCCGAUCAACCAUAAAAGCCAUUCCAGGGGUCAUGUUGAUGCUUUUUGGGAAGAAUCUGGGUUCGGUCCCGAAAUCAGACAAUUGGAAGGACUGAGGAUACCGGACCAGAGGGUGAUGAUUUUGGAAGAAUCAGCCACAAAACAGGGGCUCGCAAAUUGCAUGCUUAGGACGAAGUAGGGAACAUGCCAAAAUGCAAUCCAAAAUCAGUGAUGCACCUGUACGUGUGGUGGUCGACUAUCAUAAGCCAUCAAUCAAGAGCCACGGGGUAGAAUCACGUAUAAACCCACCUCCACGUCCACU